UUGGCCGGGGAAGAUGGCCGUCACGUGGCUGGCGUGCUCCGGUUGGCCCUCCGCUCCGAAGACCCCGCGGGAUUGGCGAGAAGAGGAACCUCUCCUCCCGCCCCUCUUGACGUCAUAUGAGCCCAUUCAUAAAAUGCCGUAGCCCCGCCUCGGGCCCGAGCACGUCCCCAGGCUCUCCCUUCCCCCUCCGUGCUCUCACGGGCCGCUUCCGCACCUGGUGGGAGGGCCGCCCCCGCUCCGCCCGCGCAGCGUCUCUCCCCCUUAUGGGCCCCGCACCGCGUCUUUCGCGGGACUCCAAGGAGCGCCCUUAGGGCAGGAGGGCGAUGCGAUGAGGAGACAGGACACUGCAGCUGCAUCUGGAAAGAGAAACCACUGUGGCUCAGUAAGAGAUCUGCUCCCAGUUACAGACUGAACCAGAGCUCAGGUGCAGGAUGGAAGGUAAUUGGACAGACAGGGUAUCUGUGGAGAAUAGCAGCCCGUUGGGCAGCACAGUGUAGGCAUGGGCUGGAAGAGGGAAGCUGGGCAGCCUGCUGAACAGCUGCAUGUCCACAUAAUGGCCACCGCAUUUUCCAGAGGGAUGCUGCCAGGUACAAGUGGGUCAGAAAUGGGGAAGGAAGUAUGUGGGUGCUAAGAUUUUCCGGCCUUUGUCAGAACCUACCACCUUCUAUUUUAAUGUCUGUUGCUCACGGCACUGCUGCUGUGCUGCCCCUGAGCCUGUGCCUGAACUACCUUCUUGCUGUAGGUCACGACAGAACCUGCUCCACUGUUCUCUUGGGGAACCAAUAAAUCUCUUGACAGAGAAGCACAAAUACAGCAAGGCGGUCCUUAAAAAAAAUUGUGUUAAAAAAUAAUACUGGUUAUUCAACAGCGUUGCUAUUUUUUAUGUUGCUCUGUUCAGAGAGAAAUGCAGUCCUCCGAGAGCUUGCAGGCUGCAUUUAGACAAGGAUGAGUCACAGGCAGGGAGCGGGACUCACUGGAAGAGAAAGAAUUAAACAAAGGUCAGGCGAGAGGGUUUGGAUCUCUGGCUUAAGGUCAUCAUACAUUCCCAGGAACAGGCAUCUCCCUUCCGAAGAUGUACUCAACUCUUCCCCAAGCCCUGCAGCCCUGCUCUCAUUUCCCUCAGCUGUUGCAGAGCCUGAAGGAGCCUCCAGUCAGCUGAGCUGAUGGAGCUGACGGACAUUUUGAAUGAGAUCACACAGCAACAUGCACACACAUGUAUGAGAAUACCUUGCCAAGAUGCUUCCCCAGCGUCACUUAUCAAUCCAGGCAUGAAUUGCAGAUCUCUGCAGACGCAAUCUCCCUCGGGGCUGCAGUGUUGCAAGCGUAAGGCAACCUACAGCUUAGCUACAUUGCUCCAUCACAUGGAAGGUGACCCAACUGUGUGGCAGAUCAGAGGAGAGAUAACAGAGAAAGAAGUUAGGAAAGCUAAAGGGGUAAGUACAUGUGUGAGUAAAACAGCAAAUGAGAAUGAAAAAUAGGGAGGCAGAGCUAUAGGCAGGGAGCAGCCUAAAGAAGGCAAAAAGGAGAAUUAAACCAGAAUGGAGAGGGCACAGCCAAACACUAGAGACAUUCAAUUGUUACUUUCAAGAUCUCCUGUGACCUUGCUGGCAUGCAAGUACCUCCUAGGCAGCCCCACAUCUCGGUGAGAUCACACUGCAGCCCCUCACACGUGCUCACUGCCUCCUGCCUUGCUCCCAAAGUAUUGAGGGCCCCUCCCUGCAGGCUGGGAAUCCCCCACAGUGGCAGGCUGGGCAUGCAGCCGGGUGGCCAGGCAGCACAGCGCACUGGGGCUGGCACUCAUCCCUCGCUCGGCUCUGACUAACCCAGCCUGCAGUGCCAUCAGCUCUGCAGGGACACCGAGAAUAGGAACGGGGACUGCUGGUUAUCCAGGAUGUGUCACUUUUCUCUGCCGCUGAAAAAGAGGUACAAUCACUUGUUUCACUAAGUGGCAUUCUUGUACCCAGCACUAAUUGAAUCCCUUUACAAAUAUGUUUUUCACCCUAGCAAGUCAAGUGCAGCUCUCUCCCCCGUACAGUCAUUCUGUUCUUAUGACUCUGUUACCAUUACUCACACACAUUGCAGUGAGGCCAGAUCCAGUACAGGGCCCGGCUAUUGCACCGCUGAGCACUGCACUUUUUCUUUGCCCAAAUCCAAAGCUCCAAAUUAGACACCCUGCCUCAGUGUACAAUGCAGAAGAGCAUAUAAGAAUGGGAUCUGACCAGCCUAGUUUAAGUGAAAAACUCUUUACAUGAACCAGAUGGACAGGUCACUAAAUCUCUCAGGACACUUCAUACAUGGAUCCCAGCUCCAGGUUGAAGUAAGCUAUCUUGCUUGGGAUUCCUGUCCUGAGACUUUUCUUAGGCACCUCCUCCAUCCCUUUUAUAGGGCUCAUGCAAAAGGAUCUUGGAAAAUCAGUAUUCCCUCCCCUUCCUGAAAGCACCUGUACCAGCAAACAGGCACAAUUUCUGAUCUGAAUGUUUCUCUAAUGUUCUCUUAACACUGCACACCUUUGACUAUAGUUUCUAUCAGAAGGAUGGGAACCUGUAAACACAAGCCUGAAACACAAGUCUUUCAAACUAAAUCACUGAGGCUUCUUAGGUUACCACACUGUGCUACAAUUGCACAUAUCUUCUCGUUUCUUAAAAGAAAUGGAGGCAUCAUCAGCACACCCUUAUGCUUUAGGGAUUAAAGUCCCAUAUUUCUCAACAACUAAUCACACUAGAUAAACGUAGCAAUGGAAGCUGAACAGAAAUGAAAGCAAGACAGUUGUUUGCAUACUAACUAGUCAAGUCUACAGCUUGUAAUUUUCACAUCACACAGGUAUACACUGAUCUUUAUGAAUAUGUCCACUCCAUUUCUCUUAAAUAGAAUAGGAAACAACAUCAACAGCAGUAUAACCUUCUAGUAUUUUAUACAGGGAUUUUUGACUUCUUCUCACUCUGAAUUAGCAAAUGAGCUCUGCUGUCUCUUGCUAAACCUUGUAAUUCCUUUUAUUUUUUUUCCCCACUCCCUGUUCAGAGUUCUCAUAAAUUAUUACAGUGAGAUUAUUACGAGGCUCCAGAUCCACUCCUCAUGCAAAACUGGAAAAACAUACAUAUGAAGGUUUGGUGGUCUGUUUUUUCAAUCACCAACAGCGCUGAAAAUCAAGCAAGUAUUUCUUCAAAACAACCCUAAUAGUUGUGCGUGCUGCAGAAAUCCAAGCCCAGAACGUCUUCAGUAAAGAGACACAGUACGGGCUGAAGCAAGAGAAGAUUAACCUUUCUCAAUCCUACAGCCCAAUUGAAAUGUAUUGAUUUUGAGCUGAAAAUAUCAUCUGUAGAAACAAAAUACUGUGUUCUCAUUGUUUAAUCCUUGAUGUCUCUGCUAUCUAGUUUCGUAACUGUAGAUAAGGGAUACAGAUAUUUGUCCAUAUAAAAUGAACAAAGUUCAGGAAUGUGUGUUCCUUGUGCCACUGCCAGCAUGCAGUAUCACCUUGCAUGAUGAAGUCACUUUCAGACCCAGAUGAUGGACUGCGUUUGAUAAGAAACCUUUUUCUCCUCAUCUAUGACCACCUUUUCACCACCGCACUCAUCCCUCUUUCACUGAAUCCUUUUGUGGAGUGUACUGAGUGUGAAACUCUGCCCAAGCCCUCCACCCACCUCCAUCCAAUCCAACUGCUGCCAUUGACAGACUUCGUCUAGCACCAGCUGGAUCCUAUCUUUGGGGCAGGAAUCAUACAGCACUUCAUCUCUUCCACAUGACUACUUCCCUUUUCCCAUACUCAAGUGGAGUAGCUUUGUCAUCACAUCCUUUAGAAAAGUCCUUGUUCCUUCAAUGCUUCCUCAAACAUUCACAUGCUGGAUGCCCCACCAGAAGGUGUGGGUACUUCCAGAAGGUUUUCUGUCUUGGCCACUGCCAGUAUUUCACAACCAUGAAUUAUGCUUCAAAGAAGGCCCAUAAAGCAAGAUGUGUCACUCAUGGUUAGAUUUGAGGAAACAGCAGGGCACAGAGUUAACUACGGCACUAGUAGGGACAGAAGAGAAAAUCUGUUGCAGAUCCUUAAGAGGCAGAUAAAUGCAGGGGCCAGAACAGGAGGAUGUCCUCUCACCAAUGUCCUGAGCAGGCAACUCGGCAGCUUCAGAUGCCAAAAAGACAUCCACGUGUUCCAGUCUUCCAUUCAUGGGCUGUAACUGAAGCAUUAAAGGACAAUACAACGUUGGGGAAUUUAUUGUAACUGAGCCAGGCAGUGAUCUGCUAAGUCUGUCCUCUCUGAGUGCUUCUUUGUGCAAGAUGGUGGGAGAGCAAAAACUCAUUUACACCUUCAUAGUUUAAAUCAAACUGCCAUCUCCCUAAACAACAGUUAAGAAUGGUGGCAAUCAUUUGAACUCCUCUCACAGAAACACCUGAGACAGAAAGGACCACCACCACUCUUAAACAAGUACAGAUAGUAUUUUUAUCUAAUAAGAUAGCUUGAUUAAAUUUCUAGUUAAGCUUCUGCAUAAGAAGGCACUGCUGAAAUAGUAGCUCCAAAAUAUGUAAAUUCCCUUCCUAAAAUUUUCACAAGUUGGAGAGAGAGUGAGGGCAUGCCAGCCUUCCUAUUUCUCUUCUUGCUAUUUCUAUUCCUGUAGAUGCUGCUAUAACAACAACCAGCAGCUUUUGUACCAACUGUAUGAUCAUUUUAGGGGUUCUGAGCUAUUUUUUUCCUAGGAGAGGCACUUCUAAGGGAGCUACCCUAUCAUUUCCUCUCCUUUGACUGUUUUUUCAUUCUUGGAGAUUGAGGAAGUAAACUACAUAAAAGACAAAAGACACCGUAAUAAUGCUCCCAUGCAGAAGGCCACCUUUUCAGGGGGUAUGAAACACUAUCCCUCUGGAAACACCAGCACAAGAGGAGGACAGUAACUGGUGACACCAGUGAAAGUGCCUCCUUUUGCAGUGGAAUGCCUUGUAGGAUGACGUGAGCACAUCAAGUCAGAAAAUCUUCCUUGGCUGUAGCCCUUGUACUGCAUUCCCAGCACUACAGUGGGAAAGACAACAACUUCCUUCUAAUUCAAAAAGGUCAAGAGAAGAAAAAGAGAAAGCAUAUGCCAUGAACAGGUAUAUUUUUUUUUUUUUCAAAAAAAUCAAACUUACAAUAAAAGAAAAACGUUUCAGGAAUCCAGUUUCAGUAAUGACCAAGCAUGUUUCAUUCCAUACUCAUAGAUUUAGUUCAGUCACAUUUCUGCCCUGUGAGCCUCAAGUUUCUGUCUGCAGCUCACAUACUACCAUCUGUU